rnacentral:lncRNA from 1 species
CUUAAAAUCAUCUUUAGAAGCUCUGCUCCAACUCAACACUGGGUGUAUUUCAGGUCUCUGAAUAAAGCUCACCACUUCCAUUCUGGGUUAUUCUCCUAGAUACAUAAUUUACUAGGAUAUUUUACAUUUUAAAAGAAACCUCAGAAUAAGCUUCUUAUUGCCCUUCAAGGAUUGCCAGCGCUACCCGUCAGGAAACCCUGACCUUAAAAUCAUGAAUGUAAAGUAAUAUAUGUGUAUGUAUAUAUAUAUAUAUGUAUGUAUUUUUUAUGUAUAUAUUUUUAUGUAUAUAUUUAUAGAUUUAUUUCCUAUGAGCUUGUCCAGGUGUGUUUUUCCCCCUUGGCACUUCAGGUGGGUUAGCUGCCUUGUGUUCAUGAUUCCUUGUCCAUGUCCCUCCCAGCGAGAGAAAGAAACAACAGAAUGAAAUGGUGUGGUCCUCCUGAACUGGAGCUGAAAGCUGACCUGUGAUGGGCCAUCCAGCCCUUUAAAUAAAGCCAUGGGAAAACACUUCUGGUCUGGAGUCAGGCCUGGAUUAGAAGUUACAGGUUGUUACUCUCUUUUUUAAACCAUGCCUAGGGUUGGGUAGGGGUCAGCAACGAGCAGAGGCAAGGGUAGUAGAUUGUCUGACUUUUUGGUUGCCUUGCAAGUGCAAGGUUAUGAUGCAGUGUUCCUGUUCCUGCUGAAAUGUUGUUGGCAGUCUCAGAGAACAAGGAGCCCAGGGGGACAGCCAGGUGGGCAGGCAGAGUCACUUCUGGGAACGGCUUUCACCUGGUCUCAUUUUGGCCAGGUGCUGCCUGUUUUCUCCGGCGUGCCCUUUUUUGCUGCAGCAGGAGGUUGGCUGAGAGUAAUUUUGAAGAAAGGUAUUGUGGAGGUAGAAGCAUUUUUUUUCCCUUUGCAACGUUACAAAAUUUUAUAUUUACCUUUACAAGAUCUGUUUCAGAAGAGAUGGAGCUAUCUGCAAAGAUUUUCGUUUAUGCGAUGUGUUCGUUGUGGUGCAGUGCUGUGGGAGGUUUUGUGCAUGCCUGCAGAAGAUUUUUCUUGUUUCAAGGCUUUCCAGAAAACCUUACCCAGAAUCUUGGAGUUCCUCUGAAGGAAGUCCAGAACACAAAAUAACGAAUGGCUCAUCACGUUCAGAGGGGCAGGACAGUGUAUGUGGUUAGAAAUGAAACGUAAGCUGCCUUUUCAAAGAGGCUGAUGACAAAAUGCAGGCUUUGGUAUCAGCAAGGGCAGCAGUGCCUCGAGUCAUCUGUCCCUGAGCCUCUGAGUUCUUUCUGCUUUCAUUUAUUGUGUGGGAGGUCACACAAGGUGACACUCAGAGUCACAGCUUCUGUCCGUCUUGCACUUGGAAGCUGCAGUGGAGGCUCCUACAAAUUACUUUGGAAAAUAAAAACAGCAGGAGGGAGAAUGCUGUGCA